rnacentral:rRNA from 1 species
AAGUCGAGCGAACGGACGAGAAGCUUGCUUCUCUGAUGUUAGCGGCGGACGGGUGAGUAACACGUGGAUAACCUACCUAUAAGACUGGGAUAACUUCGGGAAACCGGAGCUAAUACCGGAUAAUAUUUUGAACCGCAUGGUUCAAAAGUAAAAGACGGUCUUGCUGUCACUUAUAGAUGGAUCCGCGCUGCAUUAGCUAGUUGGUAAGGUAACGGCUUACCAAGGCAACGAUGCAUAGCCGACCUGAGAGGGUGAUCGGCCACACUGGAACUGAGACACGGUCCAGACUCCUACGGGAGGCAGCAGUAGGGAAUCUUCCGCAAUGGGCGAAAGCCUGACGGAGCAACGCCGCGUGAGUGAUGAAGGUCUUCGGAUCGUAAAACUCUGUUAUUAGGGAAGAACAUAUGUGUAAGUAACUGUGCACAUCUUGACGGUACCUAAUCAGAAAGCCACGGCUAACCACGUGCCAGCAGCCGCGGUAAUACGUAGGUGGCAAGCGUUAUCCGGAAUUAUUGGGCGUAAAGCGCGCGUAGGCGGUUUUUUAAGUCUGAUGUGAAAGCCCACGGCUCAACCGUGGAGGGUCAUUGGAAACUGGAAAACUUGAGUGCAGAAGAGGAAAGUGGAAUUCCAUGUGUAGCGGUGAAAUGCGCAGAGAUAUGGAGGAACACCAGUGGCGAAGGCGACUUUCUGGUCUGUAACUGACGCUGAUGUGCGAAAGCGUGGGGAUCAA